GACGAACGCUGGCGGCGUGCUUAACACAUGCAAGUCGAGCGGUAAGGCCCUUUCGGGGGUACGACGAGCGGCGAACGGGUGAGUAACACGUGGGUGACCUGCCCUUAGCUCUGGGAUAAGCCUGGGAAACUGGGUCUAAUACCGGAUAUGACCCUAUGGCGCAUGUUGUGGGGUGGAAAGCCUUGUGCGGCUAGGGAUGGGCCCGCGGCCUAUCAGCUUGUUGGUGGGGUGAUGGCCUACCAAGGCGACGACGGGUAGCCGGCCUGAGAGGGCGACCGGCCACACUGGGACUGAGACACGGCCCAGACUCCUACGGGAGGCAGCAGUGGGGAAUCUUGCGCAAUGGGCGAAAGCCUGACGCAGCGACGCCGCGUGAGGGAUGACGGCCUCGGUUGUAA
rnacentral:rRNA from 1 species